UUCAUGCCUUGAAAAGAAUCACUUUGUGCAUGAGAAAGAUACAUUCUUGCAUAAAAUGGAAUUUCUCCGGAACAAUUGGAAUAACACGACGUGCUCACAUAUCGCGCCGGAUAAAGCUAUUGAAGGAUACACAUUUAGGAAAACAUUUAACGGAUUCUCAUUUUUCGGUCUCUCGGAAGAAAUGCAAAUAGACGAAUUCGAUGCAGUUUACAGACAUAUUGACCUAUUGCGAUAUGACAAUACCACCGUACAAGAGCUCUUGGAGUUUUCGGCUCAAGACCUACACAAGCUGAUGAUAUCGGAUUUUGGACAAAAUAAUCAAGGUAAUUUCAGCAGCCCGUCACAAAAAAUUACAGUGCAAAGUAAAGUCUUAAGUUUUGGACCAAACUGCCGAAGAUAUAUCCAAUCCAAGAGUCAUAAAAUACUGCAUCAACGGUACCAACUGAAGCUUAUUUUGAGAAGGACAACAGAGAGCUACUUGUUGGUGUUCAUCAAUACGUUUCAAGAAUUUAGUGAUCUGCCGGUUGCUUCCAUAUUACGCCCUUAUCGGAUUCCAAUGGACAAAGACACUGUUCUCCACAUUCGCAGAAUUGAGAAGACAACACAAGAUGGGGAAUGUAGAUCAUAUGGACGUAACGAAUCUAGGGCUA